GAUGAAGAACGUAGCGAAAUGCGAUAAGUAGUGUGAAUUGCAGAAUUCAGUGAAUCAUCGAAUCUUUGAACGCACAUUGCGCCCCUUGGUAUUCCAUGGGGCAUGCCUGUUCGAGCGUCAUUUGUACCUUCAAGCUUUGCUUGGUGUUGGGUGUUUGUCCCGAGGGACUCGCCUUAAAGUAAUUGGCAGCCAGUGUUUGGUUUUGAAGCGCAGCACAAGUCGCGAUUCAAGGCUACACGCCCGCUUCCACAAGCCUUUUUUCACUUUUGACCUCGGAUCAGGUAGGGAAACCCGCUGAACUUAAGCAUAUCAAUAAGCGGAGGA
rnacentral:misc_RNA from 1 species